rnacentral:rRNA from 1 species
AUGCAGCCGCUUGAUCUAAGCCAUUAAGCCUAAAGAAUUUGGAAAAAAGGACCUAAGUUCUUACAUGGAUAGCUGUGGCAAUUCGAGAGCUAGGACAUGCACGAAAGCUCCGACCCUCGUGGAAAGAGCGCAUUUAUUAGACCAAAACCAAUCGAGUACUUCGGUGCUUGUGUUUUGGUGACUCUGAAUAACUUAGUUGAUCGCACAGUCAUAGUACUGGCGACGUAUCUUUCAAAUGUCUGCCUUAUCAACUUUCGAUGGUAGGUUAUACGCCUACCAUGGUUAUAACGGGUAACGGAGAAUUAGGGUUCGACUCCGGAGAGGGAGCCUGAGAAACGGCUACCACAUCCAAGGAAGGCAGCAGGCGCGCAAAUUACCCAAUCUCAGAACGAGGAGGUAGUGACGAAAAAUAACAAAACAGUCCACUCUGUGGUCUGUUAUCGGAAUGGGUACAAUUUAAAUCUUUUAACGAGGAUCUAUUAGAGGGCAAGUCUGGUGCCAGCAGCCGCGGUAAUUCCAGCUCUAAUAGCGUAUAUUAAAGUUGUUGUGGUUAAAACGCCCGUAGUUGGUUCUUCGGUCUUGAAGCUCGGUAGCUCAUAUGGGCUUAACUGAGUCUUCCGGCCUAUAUUUCUUGUUUUCUCCCGAUGCUCUUUAUUGAGUGUCUCGAGAUACUAGAACGUUUACUUUGAAAAAAUUAGAGUGCUAAAAGCAGGCUAUACGCUUGAAUAAAGUGCAUGGAAUAAUGGAAUAGGACUUUAGUUUUAUUUUGUUGGUUUUCGAAAUUAAAGUAAUGAUUAAGAGGAACAGACGGGGGCAUUCGUAUUGUUGCGUUAGAGGUGAAAUUCUUGGAUCGCAGCAAGACGAACAACUGCGAAAGCAUUGCCCAAAAGAAUUGAA